rnacentral:rRNA from 1 species
AGUGAACGCUGGCGGCGUGCCUAAUACAUGCAAGUCGAACGGAGAUUAAGUAGCUUGCUAUUUAAUCUUAGUGGCGCACGGGUGAGUAAUAUAUAGCUAACUUGCCCAUUACUAAGGGACAACAGUUGGAAACGACUGCUAAUACCUUAUACUCCGUAUCUAUAUAAGUAGAUACGGGAAAGUUUUUCGGUAAUGGAUAGGGCUAUAUCGUAUCAGCUAGUUGGUAGGGUAAUGGCUUACCAAGGCUACGACGCGUAACUGGUCUGAGAGGAUGAUCAGUCACACUGGAACUGAGACACGGUCCAGACUCCUACGGGAGGCAGCAGUAGGGAAUAUUGCUCAAUGGGGGAAACCCUGAAGCAGCAACGCCGCGUGGAGGAUGACACUUUUCGGAGCGUAAACUCCUUUUCUNGGGGAAGAAA